rnacentral:rRNA from 1 species
UACGUAGGUGGCGAGCGUUGUCCGGAAUUACUGGGUGUAAAGGGCGUGUAGGCGGGAUUGCAAGUCAGAUGUGAAAUUCCGGGGCUUAACCUCGGCGCUGCAUCUGAAACUGUGAUUCUUGAGUGCUGGAGAGGAUAGUGGUAUUCCUAGUGUAGCGGUGAAAUGCGUAGAUAUUAGGAGGAACACCAGUGGCGAAGGCGACUAUCUGGACAGUAACUGACGCUGAGGCGCGAAAGCGUGGGGAGCAAACAGGAUUAGAUACCCUGGUAGUCCACGCCGUAAACGAUGGAUACUAGGUGUAGGAGGUAUCGACCCCUUCUGUGCCGGAGUUAACACAAUAAGUAUCCCACCUGGGGAGUACGGCCGCAAGGUUGAA